AACGAACGCUGGCGGCAUGCCUAACACAUGCAAGUCGAACGAGACCUUCGGGUCUAGUGGCGCACGGGUGCGUAACGCGUGGGAACCUGCCCUUAGGUUCGGAAUAACUCCCCGAAAGGGGUGCUAAUACCGGAUAAUGCCUUCGGACCAAAGAUUUAUCGCCUUUGGAUGGGCCCGCGUUGGAUUAGCUAGUUGGUAGGGUAAAAGCCUACCAAGGCGACGAUCCAUAGCCGGUCUGAGAGGAUGAUCAGCCACACUGGGACUGAGACACGGCCCAGACUCCUACGGGAGGCAGCAGUGGGGAAUAUUGGACAAUGGGCGAAAGCCUGAUCCAGCAAUGCCGCGUGAGUGAUGAAGGCCUUAGGGUUGUAAAGCUCUUUUACCCGGGAUGAUAAUGACAGUACCGGGAGAAUAAGCUCCGGCUAACUCCGUG
rnacentral:rRNA from 1 species